GACUGUAAAGUAGAGCUGUCAAAUGGUCCGUCCAUGUGUAGGUGUUAAUUGGUUGGGCCACCCAUGGGUUCACCCAUUCAAAACAAGCAUGGGUGGGUGAUGGUCAUACCCAAAUAAGUUAUGGUCUAACUGGGCUAAAAACCCACUUUGCCCAUGGGCUAACUGGUCCAAACCAAAUGGGUGUUGGGCUGGCCCAAAACACUUAAUUUCUAGGUUUAGGCAAUUUGGGGAAAAUUGAAAAUUCACGUUCUCUUCUUCUCUUCUCCCAUUCGACGAUUCUCUUCUUCUCUUCCACUAUUUCUCUUCUCCAUUCCCAGAUUUUCGUAGCCGCGAGUCCUCCCUUACGUCUUCCUUAUGAAUCAGUAACCAUUGCUCUGUUGUAAUCUCCCUUACGUCUUUCACCAUUGCUCUGAAACUUCUUUUAGCUGUCUUCUUCUGUGGUUUCUCUUCCUUGUUAUCUGCUCAUAAGGAGGUUCAGCUUUGUCUCCAUCUCUCCGCGGUGAUUUCAGAAACCAGCAUUUUCAUUCACUUGCUGCCUCAGCUUGGUCUUCAGGCUGCAAAUAAGAGGAGACAAAGUCACAAAGCUGGAACAAAGUGAAUUCAUAAACAGUGUUGUUAAAAACUUAAAUCAUUUGAGAUUGUUUCAGAUUUUCAAAAUUUUAAUGUUUUUUAAAGUUUCAAAAUUUUACCACUCAAUUUUGGAUAUUUCUAUCAUAUUUCAAUGUUGUUUAAUA